rnacentral:misc_RNA from 1 species
AACGCACCUUGCGCUCCUUGGUAUUCCGAGGAGCAUGCCUGUUUGAGUGUCAUGAAAUUCUCAACCCAACAAGUUCUUAACGGGACUUUGCUUGUGGCUUGGACUUGGAGGUUUGUCGGCUCAUUAGCAGUCGGCUCCUCUCAAAUGCAUUAGCUUGGUUCCUUGCGGAUCGGCUCACGGUGUGAUAAUUGUCUACGCCGCGACCGUUGAAGCGUUUUAAUGGCCAGCUUCUAAUCGUCUCUUGCGAGACAGCAUUCAUCGAACUCUGACCUCAAAUCAGGUAGGACUACCCGCUGAACUUAA